CAGUCGGCCAGGGUCAGUCAGUGGGAAUCCACGCAACACCGCCGCCAGGACGAAGAACGCACGCCAGGCUAGCGUGGAGGCGAAGAGACGUUACAAGUACCUCCCACCGAAGCCAUGAGAGGGUUCAGCUUUCGGAAUUGUUCAGCAAGCGGGGAAACAUGGCGGACGUUGCCGUGAGACGACGCGAGAGACAACACCGUGACGCUCGCCAGGUUCGGAGCUGGCUGGCGGCCACGCACGGCCACUGACGUCACGCGCCAUCCAUUGAACUCCGCCACAGAGGUUGGUACGCGUGGGUCCCGGGUGCCUGUCAGAGUCAGUGCACCUGCGAGGGCCGCGACGCAGCGACGGCUGAGGACUUCAGGUGCACAGCGGACAUCGGACCAGGCGGGUAACGGCAAGUUCACAGGGCUGAACCGGCCCUAAGUUCGUGAGCUCGCAAUUGCUGUAAUUGUUGGUCUCAAGAAACCCGAGUGAACUUAGUAACGCGUUCAAAUAUAUUGUUACCGGUGUCACCACUCGGUAACUUUAUAUAUAUAUAUAUAUAUAUAUAUAUAUAUAUAUAUAUAUAUAUAUAUAUAUAGACAAACAGCUACCCUGAACAGGACACAGUGAAUCCGUGCGCAAUUCCUCGCCAGGCGGUAGUGGCAGUAAUUUUUGUUGUUGCGUGUUCGCAGUACAAGCUUAUCCAGAAUCCUAGGGGGAGCCAUUCCGCAACCCGAACUAUCGAAGCACUAUCCAAUGAUUGUUAUAUUGUCAUAUUUAUCCCUAAUAAACUGUUGUUGCAUACCCCUGCAUCUAAUUUCUUCAACCGUUGCCCAACUAUUAAUAGUUGUCCGCAACAAUACGACCACCGGCCGAUUUAAGUGUCGUUUCCACAACGAGUUAGCCGAAAAUACACUGGGUCACUAAUAGGCGUAUUAACUUUGUUCACUUAAGUAAAACGGUUGUGGUUUUUUCGGCGAGUAUUGAAUAAGUUCACUACAGAGCAUUUGUGAAGGUUCGGAACUACUGUGACCUCGUCAGCCGUUUAGCAGGUACCGGGAGCCAGCGACUGUCGGCGAGCUCAGUCAUGUUUUACAGUGUCAUUAUCAAAAGGAAUAAUCCCGUGUUUAGUUCGUGCAGACCCGUGCACGCCAGAACGCAGUGUGCUAUGCUCAGAGAAGUGAGAUGCACGGCCUGGGCUCAACUGUCCCGUUCGUGCGGCACUCGAACUAAGAUUUCAACCUUGUUCACUUGGUUACGUUUUGUUUGACUAAAUUAAAGAUAUGCAAGGUCUCAUGUUUCACUUCACAACUCCGUCACUUUCAUUUAAUUCAAUGUUUUCGGUUCACCUUCAUUUUGAGGGCUGACCAUACAAAAACAUCAUGACUAGAUUCCUUUCGCGCAAUUCUUGUGCUGUCCGAUAUUUGAAGUGAGAAUGUGUUCGUCUAUUGCUGUCGUCUUGUUGUCCACAAUACCGGUUUAGUUUCACCGUUGGGUCCACCUGUUCAACAUCAGCUGAUUUAGGCAUUUUCUCUGUGGGUUUAUGUUUUCAUUUUUAUUCAUUAUUUUGCAUUCUUGAAUUUUUUUUACAUGACAAACAAUGAAAAACUGCAAUGGCGUAUGUCCAAAAAAAAAAAACCUUACUGAAUCAAAAUACCCCAUUGCAUGAAUCAAUUAAAAAAUGCUAUAAUAUAAGCCUUGUUUUGCUUCAAAGACACACUUAAAUUUUAGAACAGACGCCCCACUCCACAGACUUCGUCCUCCGCGUUUUGAACGAUGCAAAAUAAAGCGUGCGCGCGAACAACUGCGUUGCAAAAGUUACGCUGGGUUCAAGAUUAAAAAAAAUUAAGCGAGUGCAUAGCAAGCCAUGCACACGAUCUGUGCACACGACCUGUGCGAACUGCGAAAUUGGUUCACAAUUGAAUUCUUACUGUUAAUUUCAGCCAAUGAAAUUUCACGAACUAUGCGACAUCUGUUAGCUGUGUUAGUAAAUAAACAUAUCAGCUGUCAAAAUAACGAUAAUACCAUUAUUAUCUCGAUAUUUUCUUAACACAAUAUGGUUAAUAAA